rnacentral:rRNA from 1 species
AUCGGUAGCUGGUCUGAGAGGAUGGCCAGCCACACUGGAACUGAGACACGGUCCAGACUCCUACGGGAGGCAGCAGUGGGGAAUAUUGGACAAUGGGGGGAACCCUGAUCCAGCAAUGCCGCGUGUGUGAAGAAGGCCUGAGGGUUGUAAAGCACUUUCAGUGGGGAGGAGGGUUGACAGGUUAAGAGCUGGUUGACUGGACGUUACCCACAGAAGAAGCACCGGCUAACUCCGUGCCAGCAGCCGCGGUAAUACGGAGGGUGCGAGCGUUAAUCGGAAUUACUGGGCGUAAAGGGUGCGUAGGUGGUUUGAUAAGUUAUCUGUGAAAGCCCUGGGCUUAACCUGGGAACUGCAGAUAAGACUGUUGGACUCGAGUAUGGGAGAGGGUAGUGGAAUUUCCGGUGUAGCGGUGAAAUGCGUAGAGAUCGGAAGGAACACCAGUGGCGAAGGCGGCUACCUGGCCUAAUACUGACACUGAGGCACGAAAGCGUGGGGAGCAAACAGGAUUAGAUACCCUGGUAGUCCACGCUGUAAACGAUGUCAACUAGCUGUUGGUCUUAUGAAUGAGAUUAGUGGC